rnacentral:piRNA from 1 species
UGCUACUCGUAUUUUAGUGAA